rnacentral:rRNA from 1 species
UACGUAGGGUGCGAGCGUUAAUCGGAAUUACUGGGCGUAAAGCGUGCGCAGGCGGCGUCGCAAGUCAGGCGUGAAAGCCCCGGGCUUAACCUGGGAAUGGCGCUUGAAACUACGAUGCUGGAGUAUGGCAGAGGGAGGUGGAAUUCCACGUGUAGCGGUGAAAUGCGUAGAUAUGUGGAGGAACACCGAUGGCGAAGGCAGCCUCCUGGGCCAAUACUGACGCUCAUGCACGAAAGCGUGGGGAGCAAACAGGAUUAGAUACCCUGGUAGUCCACGCCCUAAACGAUGUCGACUAGUUGUUGGGGGAGUUAAAUCCCUUAGUAACGCAGCUAACGCGAGAAGUCGACCGCCUGGGGAGUACGGUCGCAAGAUUA